GCCCAGUAUAGAUGUUUAGAGCUUGUGAGGGAGUAGCAAGUCACCAGUGAAUGUCAGUCUAAAGAAUGAAUAAAAUCCUUGAAUGUGUAUUGUCCACAUAGGCUGAGCCAUGUCAAGGACCAGCUGCCUCCUACCAAUGGGAAACUGGCAAAGCCUUCAUUGGUCCAAGAAGGAAUGUUUAUAAGUGAUUGGCCAGCAUGUGUGAUUGCACACACUGCAGCUUCCUCUUCCAGGACAUUACAGACUGCUUGCCUACAGACCGCCUACCCAGACUAGCUAGCCCCUACCUCGGGCUGCACUGAGAUUCCUGUUCUUUCCAUUAAUCGGUGCCUCUCCACCAUAUGUGCGCAGCCCACCUGACCCAGCUUUUCUGUGCCCACAUGUCUGUUUUUAUCUUUUCUUUAUUCCCUAUGCAUCCCUAGUCAGAUUUCCAGGACCAUGCCACAGCAGAUGUAGCAAGAACUGAACUUGGGUCCUCCUGUAAGAACAUGCUGGGAAUCAAACCAAGAUUGUGUCCUAGGUUGCUCUGGAUCCCACCCAGUUAAUGGUGUGAGGCAUUACAGUGUACUGAGACUGGUAACAACAACAACAACAGCAACAGUUCCAACAAACUGUCUUCAAGUGGAGAAGAUGAAUGUAUGAAUUCAGGAAUUAAAGUUUUGUUCAUUGCUA